rnacentral:rRNA from 1 species
GAGUUUGAUCUUGGCUCAGGACGAACGCUGGCGGCGUGCUUAACACAUGCAAGUCACGGGGGCUCGCAAGGGCAACCGGCGAACGGGUGCGUAACACGUGAGCAAUCUGCCGAUUUCUGGGGGAUAGCCGGCCCAACGGCCGGGUAAUACCGCAUACGCUCAUUGAGGGGAGUCCCUUGAUGAGGAAACCUCCGGGGGAAAUCGAGGAGCUCGCGGCCUAUCAGCUAGUUGGCGGGGUAAUGGCCCACCAAGGCAGCGACGGGUAGCUGGUCUGAGAGGAUGGCCAGCCACAUUGGGACUGAGAGACGGCCCAGACUCCUACGGGAGGCAGCAGUGGGGAAUCUUGCGCAAUGGCCGAAAGGCUGACGCAGCGACGCCGCGUGUGGGAUGAAGCAUUUCGGUGUGUAAACCACUGUUGCCCGGGACGAACCUCCUCUUUCGAGAGGACUGACGGUACCGGGUGAGGAAGCACCGGCUAACUCCGUGCCAGCCGCCGCAGUAAG